AUACGGAGGGUCCAAGCGUUAUCCGGAUUUAUUGGGUUUAAAGGGUGUGUAGGCGGAAAUAUCAGUCAGUGGUGAAAUCCUGCAGCUUAACUGCAGAACUGCCGCUGAUACUUUAUUUCUUGAGUAUAGUUGAAGUGGGCGGAAUGUGUCAUGUAGCGGUGAAAUGCAUAGAUAUGACACAGAACACCGAUUGCGAAGGCAGCUCACUAAACUAUUACUGACGCUGAGGCACGAAGGCGUGGGUAGCGAACAGGAUUAGAAACCCCGGUAGUCC
rnacentral:rRNA from 1 species